GCAAGUCAUCCUUGGCUCAA
rnacentral:snRNA from 1 species